rnacentral:lncRNA from 1 species
UGCUGGGAGGGCCAGGAAGGGCGCUCGCCCUGAGGGUCCAUCUCAGCCCAGGCGGUGGUGGCUCCUCCUUACAGCUUCUGUCCUCUGCCCUUCUCUCCUCAGUAGCCACAUCCUUCAGGACUCCCAACCCUGUUAUGGACGCUUCUUCAGAUUGAACUUUCUGUGCUCAAAUUAUUGUGUGGUUUCUGCCUCCUGUUUUGACUCUGACGGAUGCAGUAGAGAGCGGUUGGGGACGGAGGUGCAGAUUUCCUGGCAACAGUUUGGGGAACUCUCCAUGAUUUGCCACAUCUCUAACAGACUCCAGUGGUGAUGGGCGUUUGGAGACUCAAGUGGUAGCAGAAGGGAGACCACAUGACUUCUGCACUGUGUCUUGAGUGAGCAAUGUCUGGAAAGGUGCAUCCUGGACCUGGAAUCGUUAAGCCACCUCUGAGCAGUCGGCGUGUAUCAGAACUUCCUCACUGGGCCGGCGGCAGAGGGGCAGAAGGAAGUACAACGCGAGGGGUGUCCUGUCUACAUGUUGAUGACAGCCAUCGGUGGACAUGCAUUUCUUCUUGGCUGUGCUGUG